rnacentral:rRNA from 1 species
UACAGAGGGGGCAAGCGUUGUUCGGAAUUACUGGGCGUAAAGGGCGCGUAGGCGGCCUGUUAAGUCGAACGUGAAAUCCCCGGGCCCAACCCGGGAACUGCGUCCGAUACUGGCAGGCUUGAAUUCGGGAGAGGGAUGCGGAAUUCCAGGUGUAGCGGUGAAAUGCGCAGAUAUCAGGAGGAACACCGGUGGCGAAGGCGGGUCUCUGGGCCGAUACUGACGCUGAGGAGCGAAAGCGUGGGGAGCGAACAGG